GCAUCAGCUACAAACAGGCAGCAAGGAGCCAGAGCACUGGAAUUCAACUACAAAGUUCAGGGGACAAGCUCAAGAUGCUGAUUCAGUUAUCCAACAUCUUCAUCAACCUUUCCAAGCCCGUGUCAUCUGCAGACUGAAUCAGAAUCAGCUUCCAACUAUAGUCUCAUCGAAAUCACUGACUCUUUGCUCAUACUACUUAUUUUCCCUUCAUGACUGGCUACUUCUCUUCCUCUUCAUCUCUCCAAAUGGUAUUUAUUCUUUAAAAUCCACCUCGUUCAUUCCCUUUUUUUGUCUGUUUUUGAGACAGAGUUUCGCUUUUGUCACCCAGGCUGGAGUGCAAUGGUGCGAUCUCGGCUCAGUGCAACUCUGCCCCCUGGGUUCCAGCGAUUCUCCUGCCUCAGCCUCCAGAGUAGCUGCGAUUACAGGUGCCCACCCACCACGUCCGGCUAAUUUUUUAUUUUUAGUAGAGACAGGGUUUCACCAUAUGGGCCAGGCUGUUCUCAAACUCCUGACCUCAGGUGAUCCACCCGCGUUGGCCUCCCAAAAUGCUGGGAUUACAGGCACCUGGCCUCAUUUAUUCUUUAAAUAAGAGAAACAACUUCAAAACAGGUUGAUUAAGUGCUAUAACAGGUAAGCACAGAGUGCUCAUGAACAUAAGAGGUUAAGCCUACCUGGGUAGGGACAGGAAAUAUGGGGGACUUAAUGAAGUUUCAAGGAGGAGUGACUCUAUCUAACCUUAAAAGAUGAGUAUAAGCCAGAAAGAGAAGGGAAGGAAUAAAGUUGCUACAUAAAGUUAUAGCUAAUGCAAAUUCAUGGAGACAAGAAAAAGCUUAUGUUCAAAGAACUGCACAUAAUUAGGAAUAGCUGAAAGACAACUAGGUAGUGGCGAGAUAGGAUGGUAUGGGCCAAAUCAAGACCUUUCAUGACAAGCUUAAGGAACCCGAACUUUAUCCUAUAGGUAAGGGGAAGCAUUGAAAGAUUUUAAAUUGGAGAAUGACAUGCUCAGAUUUGUGUUUAAGAAAAAUUUUGGCUGCCUUUUCUGACAACUCCAGUUCUCAACAGUCUCUGUGUCCUCCAAAUAUCUAUGUUACUUACUGGGCUAAUCACUCAAUCAGCACUUAUAUAAUUAUAUAGUGUUCUGAACUUUUAAUAUGCUUAUUCUUAUAUUACCAGGGAGAUCAUUAACUCCUUGAAGAGAACAUGAUUUACUUUUUUGUAUUUCCCACAACUUGCAACACCUAAAGUUCUACAUAGUAAGAACUAAAACAUAAAACCACCGGAGAGCGUUCUCAAUUGGCCAAGUAUGAUUAGAAGAUUGGUAAAAGAAACACACAAAAUGAAAUCAGAACUGAGUUACCUACAAGAAUCCAGUUCAAUAUCUAAAAACCUCAAAACCAUGCCAGGCAAGGUGGCUUAUGCCUGUAAUCCUAGCACUUUGGGAGGCCGAGGCAGAAGGAUCACUUGAGCCUGGGAGUUUGAGGCUGCAGCAAGCUAUCAUUGUGCCACUGCACUCUAGCAGGGACAACAGACUGAGACCCUGCCUGAAAAAACAAAAUCACAACACGCCAGUAUCACUUGUGUGCUGAGAUAAGAAGGCAGGGUGGAAAAAUCAGAGCUAACUAAAGUUGUGUCCAUUACAUUUUCACACGAUAUCAGGCCCACUGUGCUUCACUAUAUUCAUUACCUUCAUAGCCAAAAACAGUCUGAUUCUAAUUUUAAAAAUUCUCACUCUAAAGAUAGAAGUGUUUUUUCUUUUUUUUAUAAUUUCUUUUUUUUAUAAAAGCUAUGUAUGUUUGCUGUAAUAGGUCAAACAACACACAGAUGAAAAAGGAAAAAGUUAACAGAUUUUCUUUUAAACUAGUAAGUAUUUAAAGGAGGUGGAAUUCAUUCGGUUUCCUUUUAGUCCACUGCCUCAUUUCAUUUAGACCUGAAUAUGUGAGU
ensembl:lncRNA novel transcript, antisense to MACF1